UACGUAGGGUCCAAGCGUUAUCCGGAAUCACUGGGCGUAAAGCGUGCGUAGGCGGACGUUUAAGUGUAAUGCGAAAUCCUGUGGCUCAACCAUAUGGACUGUAUUGCAUACUGGAUGUCUUGAGGAAUGCAGAGGCAAAUGGAAUUACCGGUGUAGCAGUGAAAUGCGUAGAUAUCGGUAGGAACACCAAUGGCGAAGGCAGUUUGCUGGGCAUUUUCUGACGCUAAGGCACGAAAGCGUGGGGAGCGAACAGG
rnacentral:rRNA from 1 species